GCGCUCCUCCACCCUUUCCCCCACCUUUCUCUCCCCUCUCUCUCUCUCUCUCUCUCUUUCUCUCUCUCUCCUCCGAUCUCGCUUCUCUUCCAGGGGGGAAAAAGAGGGGAAACGGGGAGAACGCCUCGUUCUCGAAACCCUACUAGCACCUUCUCCUACGAUCGAGGGGGAGAGAGGCCCGAUCGGAUCUCGGAUUCGCCUCCGAAUCAGCCGCGGAGUCGCGUUGGAUCUGGUGCGAGGGGGC
rnacentral:lncRNA from 1 species